GCACUAGUAGCUCAAUCCCAGAGCAUCGGUCUUGUAAACCGAAGGUCGGAGGUUAGAUUCCCCCCUAC
rnacentral:tRNA from 1 species